rnacentral:lncRNA from 1 species
ACAAUUGAAGCUUUUUGAGUUGAUUUUGGAGAUCUUGCAAGACAGAUUUUGGAAGACAAGAUUGAAGAUCAUUGACAAAGUUUUUCCUUCUUCCUCUUAAAUUAAUUUCUGUGUUCAAGAUGUUAUUGUUCGUUAGCUUUUAUUAUGAUGAUGAGCUGAAUUCUUAAUUAGGAGUACAAUUGAACCUUUUGUGAUGCAAU